rnacentral:rRNA from 1 species
GAUGAACGCUGGCGGCGUGCCUAAUACAUGCAAGUCGAGCGAACAGACGAGGAGCUUGCUCCUCUGACGUUAGCGGCGGACGGGUGAGUAACACGUGGAUAACCUACCUAUAAGACUGGGAUAACUUCGGGAAACCGGGGCUAAUACCGGAUAAUAUAUUGAACCGCAUGGUUCAAUAGUGAAAGACGGUUUUGCUGUCACUUAUAGAUGGAUCCGCGCCGCAUUAGCUAGUUGGUAAGGUAACGGCUUACCAAGGCCACGAUGCGUAGCCGACCUGAGAGGGUGAUCGGCCACACUGGAACUGAGACACGGUCCAGACUCCUACGGGAGGCAGCAGUAGGGAAUCUUCCGAAAUGGGCGAAAGCCUGACGGAGCAACGCCGCGUGAGUGAUGAAGGUCUUCGGAUCGUAAAACUCUGUUAUUAGGGAAGAACAAAUGUGUAAGUAACUAUGCACGUCUUGACGGUACCUAAUCAGAAAGCCACGGCUAACUACGUG